rnacentral:rRNA from 1 species
UCAUAGUGAUCCGGUGGUUCUGAAUGGAAGGGCCAUCGCUCAACGGAUAAAAGGUACUCCGGGGAUAACAGGCUGAUACCGCCCAAGAGUUCAUAUCGACGGCGGUGUUUGGCACCUCGAUGUCGGCUCAUCACAUCCUGGGGCUGAAGUAGGUCCCAAGGGUAUGGCUGUUCGCCAUUUAAAGUGGUACGCGAGCUGGGUUUAGAACGUCGUGAGACAGUUCGGUCCCUAUCUGCCGUGGGCGCUGGAGAACUGAGGGGGGCUGCUCCUAGUACGAGAGGACCGGAGUGGACGCAUCACUGGUGUUCGGGUUGUCAUGCCAAUGGCACUGCCCGGUAGCUAAAUGCGGAAGAGAUAAGUGCUGAAAGCAUCUAAGCACGAAACUUGCCCCGAGAUGAGUUCUCCCUGAGACUUAGAGUCUCCUGAAGGAACGUUGAAGACGACGACGUUGAUAGGCCGGGUGUGUAAGCGCAGCGAUGCGUUGAGCUAACCGGUACUAAUGAACCGUGAGGCUUAACCUU